UACGGGAGGCAGCAGUGGGGAAUAUUGCACAAUGGGCGAAAGCCUGAUGCAGCUAUGCCGCGUGUAUGAAGAAGGCCUUAGGGUUGUAAAGUACUUUCAUCGGGGAGGAAAAACAAAACUAAUAAUUUUAUUUCUUGACGUUACCCGAAAAAGAAGCACCGGCUAACUCCGUGCCAGCAGCCGCGGUAAUACGGAGGGUGCUAGCGUUAAUCAGAAUUACUGGGCGUAAAGAGCACGUAGGUGGUUUUUUAAGUCAGAUGUGAAAUCCCUGGGCCUAACCUAGGAACUGCAUUUUGAAACUGAAAUACUAGAGUAUCGUAGAGGGAGGUAGAAUUCUAGGUGUAGCGGUGAAAUGCGUAGAUAUCUGGAGGAAUACCUGUGGCGAAAGCGGCCUCCUAAACGAAUACUGACACUGAGGUGCGAAAGCGGUGGGGAGCAAACAGGGAUUAGAUACC
rnacentral:rRNA from 1 species